AAGCUCGUAGUUGAAUUUCGAAUGUGGCUGGGCGGUCCGCCUCACGGUGUGUACUGUCUGGCUGUGUUCUCUUUCUUGGUGAGCCGGCAUGCCCUUUACUGGGUGUGUUGGGGAACCAGGACGUUUACCUUGAGAAAAUUAGAGUGUUCAAAGCAGGCCUACGCCCGAAUACAUUAGCAUGGCAUAAUAAAAUAGGACGUGCGGUUCUACUUUGUUGGUUUCUAGAGCCGCAGUAAUGAUUAAUAGGGAUAGUUGGG
rnacentral:rRNA from 1 species